rnacentral:sRNA from 1 species
ACUUGCUGCGGACCAGGCGCAUCGACUCCGCAGCACCAGACACCACACCGUGCCACGGGAACAUCGUGGCAUUUCAGGGCGUU